AGCGAACGCUGGCGGCAGGCUUAACACAUGCAAGUCGAACGGGCAUAGCAAUAUGUCAGUGGCAGACGGGUGAGUAACGCGUGGGAACGUACCUUUUGGUUCGGAACAACACAGGGAAACUUGUGCUAAUACCGGAUAAGCCCUUACGGGGAAAGAUUUAUCGCCGAAAGAUCGGCCCGCGUCUGAUUAGCUAGUUGGUAGGGUAAUGGCCUACCAAGGCGACGAUCAGUAGCUGGUCUGAGAGGAUGAUCAGCCACAUUGGGACUGAGACACGGCCCAAACUCCUACGGGAGGCAGCAGUGGGGAAUAUUGGACAAGGGGCGAAAGCCUGAUCCAGCCAUGCCGCGUGAGUGAUGAAGGCCUUAGGGUUGUAAAGCUCUUUUGUGCGGGAAGAUAAUGACGGUACCGAAAGAAUAAGCCCCGGCUAACUUCGUG
rnacentral:rRNA from 1 species